UGAGUGUGUGGUAGCCAGAGCAUCCUCUGGCUAUUCUGCUAAUUUCCUGAAGGUCGCCCUGGAGUUUUAUUGCUUGUGCUAAAAGAAGUGUCUGGCUUGUGGUUUUAACAUGUGAGAGGCAACUUGGAAGAAAAGAACAGUCGCAGCAUCCGUGUCUGUGAAAGCAAUAACUGCUUCAUUCUGCUAGUACCCUGCCAGGAUGUGUGCUGGUUUCCUGGGGAAAACGUUUCUACAUUUGUGGAGACCUUUGCUCAGACACCAUAUGGUUCUGCCUGGAUCAGAGGUGACAGUUACAAGAGGUGUGAGUGCCAUAGCUGCCAGCUGAAAAAAAUGCUGAUUAAUUUUUAACUCAAAGCUCUUCUGCACACCAAAGUUCUAGAGAGAGGCCAAGAUCAGUUUGCUUUUCAUGCUACCAAACCACAGACUUAUAUUCCUUGAGCCACUGAAGAUGAAUGAAUCUGACCCAAACAUGAGGUGCUUAACACCUUUACAGCUGUUUGGCUG